ensembl:snRNA U6 U6 spliceosomal RNA
AUACUUGUUAUAACAGCAUAUGUACUAACAUUGGAAGUAUACAGGAAAGAGUAGCAUGGUCCCUAUGCAAGAAUGGUAUAAAAAUUCAUGAAGCGUUUCAUAUUUUA